rnacentral:misc_RNA from 1 species
GAGAGCCCGGUGCGCUUAGCGCACGCCGGGUUCGGGAGGCGGCUCGGAGAAACCCACCAGUGGCAACACCAGCAGGGCGCUCCGAGUCGACCUCAC